rnacentral:lncRNA from 1 species
AGCGAUUCUCCUGCCUCAGCCUUCCGAGUAGCUGGGAUUACAGUUUUGGCUUCGUGAUCACGUAAACCAAGAGUCACAAACUGAAAUGCCAUCAAGGGGCCAAGCAGCACAGUACCUGGUAUGUGGAAGGCACUCAAACUAGGGCCAACCUGGUGCCAGCUAACCUGGGACUAGUGCAAGCUCCUGAAAUUCACCUGGUCAAGGGACACAUGUUCACAGGAUCUCCUGGGGUUGUGUCACCAAAAAAAAAAAAAAAAAAAUUUCACCUGGUGUCUCUAGUCACCAUGAUUUUCUCUAAAAUGCCACACAGAAUUCUAUGUAUGGAAUUUUUUUCUUUUCUUUUUUCU